AGAGUUUGAUCCUGGCUCAGAGCGAACGCUGGCGGCAGGCCUAACACAUGCAAGUCGAGCGCCCAGCAAUGGGAGCGGCAGACGGGUGAGUAACGCGUGGGGAUCUGCCCAAUGGUACGGAAUAACCCAGGGAAACUUGGACUAAUACCGUAUGUGCCCUUCGGGGGAAAGAUUUAUCGCCAUUGGAUGAACCCGCGUCGGAUUAGCUAGUUGGUGAGGUAAAGGCUCACCAAGGCGACGAUCCGUAGCUGGUCUGAGAGGAUGAUCAGCCACACUGGGACUGAGACACGGGCCAGACUCCUACGGGAGGCAGCAGUGGGGAAUAUUGGACAAUGGGCGCAAGCCUGAUCCAGCCAUGCCGCGUGUGUGAUGAAGGCCUUAGGGUUGAAAAGCACUUUCGCCGGGGAAGAUAAUGACGGUGACCGGAGAAGAAGCCCCGGCUAACUUCGAGCCAGCAGGCGCGGGAAUACGAAGGGGGCAAGCGUUGCUCGGAAUCACUGGACGUAAAGCGCACG
rnacentral:rRNA from 1 species